UACAGGGGGGGCAAGCGUUGUUCGGAAUUACUGGGCGUAAAGGGCGCGUAGGCGGCCUUCUAAGUCGAACGUGAAAUCCCUGGGCUCAACCCAGGAACUGCGUCCGAUACUGGAAGGCUUGAAUCCGGGAGAGGGAUGCGGAAUUCCAGGUGUAGCGGUGAAAUGCGUAGAUAUCUGGAGGAACACCGGUGGCGAAGGCGGCGUCCUGGACCGGUAUUGACGCUGAGGCGCGAAAGCCAGGGGAGCAAACGGG
rnacentral:rRNA from 1 species